CCAUGCCGGCUUCUCCUGCCCCUGCCAGCUGGGGUUCCUGGUGAUGCGAUUUUUAUCCUACCACCCAAAAUCACAUUGCCAGGGAUUUCCAACGGGCGGCGGGCCACAGCGCCCAGGAGAC
rnacentral:pre_miRNA from 15 species